GGCUUGGUAGCGCUCGGAGCGCCUCUGCCGUUCAUUCAUAGUUUGCCGACAAUUGGCAGCAGACGGAGCCCGUUCGACUCGGGCCCAAGCCA